rfam:Heterocephalus glaber contig68678, whole genome shotgun sequence.
GAAGAUGUAGCUCAGUGGUAGAGCACUUGCCUAGUGUACAAGAGGCUCUGGGUUCAAUUCCCAGCAACCCUU